rnacentral:rRNA from 1 species
AUUGAACGCUGGCGGCAGGCCUAACACAUGCAAGUCGAGCGAGCGGCGGACGGGUGAGUAAUGUAUGGGGAUCUGCCCGAUAGAGGGGGAUAACUACUGGAAACGGUGGCUAAUACCGCAUAUUAUUCGAUCGGCCGAUAACGGAUUAGCUAGUUGGUGGGGUAAAGGCCUACCAAGGCGACGAUCUCUAGCUGGUCUGAGAGGAUGAUCAGCCACACUGGGACUGGGACACGGCCCAGACUCCUACGGGAGGCAGCAGUGGGGAAUAUUGCACAAUGGGCGCAAGCCUGAUGCAGCCAUGCCGCGUGUAUGAAGAAGGCCUUAGGGUUGUAAAGUACUUUCAGCGGGGAGGUGUUACCCGCAGAAGAAGCACCGGCUAACUCCGUGCCAGCAGCCGCGGUAAUUC